rnacentral:rRNA from 1 species
UUAGAGUUUGAUCAUGGCUCAGGACGAACGCUGGCGGCGUGCCUAAUACAUGCAAGUCGAACGCGUCCCGGUUGAUGAAGUUGAGUGCUUGCACUUGAUUGAUUCAACUUGGUGACGAGUGGCGAACUGGUGAGUAACACGUGGGUAACCUGCCCCGAAGCGGGGGAUAACAUUUGGAAACAGGUGCUAAUACCGCAUAACAACCAAAACCUCCUGGUUUUGGUUUAAAAGACGGCUUCGGCUGUCACUUUGGGAUGGACCCGCGGCGUAUUAGCUAGUUGGUGAGGUAACGGCUCACCAAGGCGAUGAUACGUAGCCGACCUGAGAGGGUAAUCGGCCACAUUGGGACUGAGACACGGCCCAAACUCCUACGGGAGGCAGCAGUAGGGAAUCUUCCACAAUGGACGCAAGUCUGAUGGAGCAACGCCGCGUGAGUGAUGAAGGGUUUCGGCUCGUAAAACUCUGUUGUUGGAGAAGAACGGGUGUCAGAGUAACUGUUGACAUCGUGACGGUAUCCAACCAGAAAGCCACGGCUAACUACGUGCCAGCAGCCGCGGUAAUACGUAGGUGGCAAGCGUUGUCCGGAUUUAUUGGGCGUAAAGCGAGCGCAGGCGGUUUUUUAGGUCUGAUGUGAAAGCCUUCGGCUUAACCGGAGAAGUGCAUCGGAAACCGGGAGACUUGAGUGCAGAAGAGGACAGUGGAACUCCAUGUGUAGCGGUGAAAUGCGUAGAUAUAUGGAAGAACACCAGUGGCGAAGGCGGCUGUCUGGUCUGCAACUGACGCUGAGGCUCGAAAGCAUGGGUAGCGAACAGGAUUAGAUACCCUGGUAGUCCAUGCCGUAAACGAUGAGUGCUAAGUGUUUGGAGGGUUUCCGCCCUUCAGUGCUGCAGCUAACGCAUUAGGCACUCCGCNCUGGGGAGUACGACCGCAAGGUUGAACUCAAAGGGAAUUGACGGGGGCCGCACAAGCGGUGGAAGCAUGUGGUUUAAUUCGAUGCUACGCGAAGAACCUUACCAGGUCUUGACAUCUUCUGCUAACCU